rnacentral:rRNA from 1 species
UGUCCAAGUCCCUUGGAACAGGGUAUCAAAGAGGGUGACAAUCCCGUACUUGACACGACGACCGGUGCUCUGUGAUACGUCUUCUACGAGUCGAGUUGUUUGGGAAUGCAGCUCAAAAUGGGUGGUGAGUUCCAUCUAAAGCUAAAUAUUGGCGAGAGACCGAUAGCGAACAAGUACCGUGAGGGAAAGAUGAAAAGCACUUUGGAAAGAGAGUUAAACAGUACGUGAAAUUGUUGAAAGGGAAACGAUUGAAGUCAGUCGUGACCGAGAGGCUCAGCCGGUUCUGCCGGUGUAUUCCCCUCGGUCGGGUCAACAUCAGUUUUGUCCGGUGGAUAA